ensembl:lncRNA
UGGUUUCUGAAAUGUCUGAGCUGAGAGACAGCUAGACCGCUUCAACCAGGCAGACCCUGUGAUUUGAUGAUAUAACUCAUGGAGCUGGUGGUAAUGCAACUGUGUUAAACCUACUUCCAAGCCUCAGGGACUUGUGCCUUGAGAACCUUUUUUUAGGCUUGGAAUCACCACAACUUCUGUUGAAAAGAAACAAAGCCCAAACGAUUGGCUCUUGUCUGCUUAAUCCUACCCCCACUUAGUGCCUCUCAAGUUUCAAACAGCAGUCCUGCCUACCGACUUUCUGUUCUUUCUGCUUAGUCCUUUAAGCUGUUAAUUAGGUGCCUUCUUAGUGAUUCUGUGAGCCCCUUAGGUAUUUGCAUUCCUAAAUGUUUCCAGGGGUUCAAUAGAACUCAUUUCACAUACCCAAGAAGUGUGCAGCCUUGGCUUUUAGUAACUACUCAACUUAAUAGGCUUUCAAGCUAUUACUGUCUUCAAGAAACACAUCUACAAAUCUCUGCCAGAAGCUGCUAUGGGUGGGAGCGUUUUGCACUGCUCUUCUUGAAACCGAAGCAUUGUACAGCCCAGCAGGCAAUAGCCACAGACAAAACAGAUCAGAUAGAAAAGGUGUUGCAGGGAGUAGUCUGUAAGUUUAACUCUGCCUAGCUCUGGAUGUAGACUUUCUGGUUCUACUGCCACUCUUCAGAAAUGUGAAGAAGAGAUUGAAAAUGUGGUGUGCAGAAGCCAGGAAGGAAAAUCUCAUGCUUUUAAGAACUCUGCUCUGUAGUUGGAUGAAUCUACCUUCUCUGCUUAAAAGUAGAGAAGACAGAUGAAUGAGCUUGAGCUGUACUUUCAAGGUGAGAAGACAUUAAAUAACUGCUGAGGUUUGGGGUUGGAAUUUCUUUUUUUGUAUUUUUUUUUUUUUCCCUCAUGUAACCAAAUACCAAUAAUCUUCUCCUUUCUGUAUAGGCUUACCACAUGUAGCAGUCUGAAGGGGAUCUGUGGAGUUUGUCUUGAGAAAAUACCACUGUUUGGGAACUAUUCCAGCUCCCAGAUGCUGAGCAUUUUGCUGUUGACCUCAGGUGCUGAAUUAACAUGAUGCAACCCAGAGAUGCGAAGGGAUUUCUUUCAUUAACAGUGCUGUGAUGCUAGUGAGAACAGAAGAUGUGUUUCCUAGACAACCACCAUCACUCUGUUUCAUGUGGGUUGGUGAGUUGAAUUGCCUCAUGGAGAGUCGUGGGAGCUGAAGGCUGACACAAGUUGAGCAACAAAGUGGGAGAAGAAGGGGGGAGAGUUGGGCUUGCUCAAAAUCCAGCAACACCUCUUUCACUAAUUGGAUACUAGGAGCUUUAAAUACUGUCACUUAUCUAACCUUUUACAAUUAAUAUUAAUGGAAAUUAAUUACCGGGAAAAAGGAGGUGUUCUACUGUCAUCAUUAGGAAGAUUGUGGAACAGUUUAUCAUGAAAACUAUUUACUGGCAUGUGAAGAACAGAAGUUUGAUUGUAAACAUCCAGUGUGGAUCUACCAAGAGCAAAUUGUGCUGGACCAACCUGGAUUGACUGUUACAGUGAAGUGACACUGCUGUGCACGAAGGUGAGGAAUGGAUGAUCAGUGUGAAUUGAGACUGUCCUGAAAGUUUGUCUCAUUUCAGGAGAAUACAAAAGAGACAAAUGUGAUUUCUCUUAUGUGAUCUUUUAUCUUACCAAACACAGAGAAUGUCAGACAUGUUGUCUAUCUAGUAACUGUAUAUCAGUAUAAUCAGUUAAAUUGUGGUUUUUCUUAUCUGUGUCAUGGGUAAGGAAGACAUCCCAGAUGCAAAGUUAGUGAGCUAUAUGUAGAAGAUGCAUACUGUUGAGAAAUGUUGCAACUUGGCUUGCUAAGAAAAUUUAUGAGGUGACCUCUUCCUAAGUCUGUUUCAUGUGACCAUUGCAUUUCCCUGUGAAAAGGACCAUUGAAAGACAGAGCAGAGGGACAGGUCCAGUCCCUUUGAGUUGAGGAACGGCACGUAUUCACCACAAGUGCCUUUAUAUUACUACCUGAUGAAACCAUAAGAUAAUAUUUAUUGGCUUCCCAUAUAUGCAGACAUUGCUAUUGAGGUAAUGAGUAGAGGUGGCCUUGGUUGCAACUGAAAGGGAACUUUUUAAUUAGGCAAGAGAUUCAGGGAAACCCAGAAAUAUCUUCAUGUCCUGUGUUACCAUUAAGAAUUUCUUGCUGGAUAGAAUAAAGCCUUCAGGGAAGGCAUUUAUGAGCAUGCUGCAGUGGUAGAGUAAAAGGGAAUAUGAAAUUCAUUCCCAGACCCUCCUAUUUUGGCAAUAUGUAUAUGUCUUCGAAAUAGGAAAUAAUAUAAUGCUGAGAUUUCUGAUGUUUAGCAAAAGAUAGGGUGCUGACUUGUACAGCAGUGCCUGGCUGAACUGUGCUCCUUUCUGGGGAGAGCGUCUGAUUUCCUGCUGACAUAACCUUUGCUCAGAAGAUGAUAGAAAAAAUUUUAUUAUCAGCUGUUACAACAGUGGUAGCUGAGGUGAAAAAGCCUUUUCUAUCUAGGCAAUUAGGUGGGAACUUGUCUACCUGCACAGACCCAUGAAGAAGGGAAUUCAGGAAGCUGAGUUUGCCUGCAGGAGGGAGGGAGGGGGCCGUCAGCAGUCUGAGAUCAAUAUGAGCUUAAAUGAAACAUUUCAAACCACGCUGGCAGUGACUAUUAAAGUGACAUUUCCUGCUGCUGGAAACUGCAUUGUAAUAUAAAUUACUUUUCUAUUUGUUUUCUUGACAAGACUUUUAAGAGAAUUGAAUAUCCAGCAUUGGCGAUCCUACAGCAGAAGUUUUGUGUUUAGAUCAAAACGUGUCCGGACCAGGUUUAGGUGGCUAAACACCCUCCCACUGGCUGGGGAGGGAUGGGUGGACAGGACCAAGCUAUAGAGGCUCUAUACUUUUAUUUGUUGUGUGCAGUGUUGUGAUAGUGGCAUUCUGAGAUGAGGAGCUUGGGAAGCUGAGUUUUAUUUUGUGGCCAAGACAAGCUGUUCCUAAGACGCUACCACUGCAGUUCUUCCUUUUAGGCUGUGGCUAGGAACAAUGGUGUAAAUCUCACAAUGGCAUCUUCCUAGGCCAGUUUCUACAUUGUCUUCAUGUGUGAUGUAAGAACAGAACACCAUUCUUGCUGAGGCAUCUUCAUGUUGUAGGAAAUGCCUUGUGUAUGUUCUUCACAGUGACCUUUGUGGAAGAAACGCAUCUCCUUUUUGCCUCUGAAGGCACUGAGGAGUUUCAUUCGCUGGAAAUGUAGUAUCUCUGUAUACUGCAGCUUUAUGUAGAACAUUUUGGAGGGAAAAUAUUGCACAGGGGACAACUCAUCUUAAUAAGAAAGACAUAUUGACGUGAGGGAGAAAAAAUCAAAAAGUAGAUAAAGAAAUCAGGAAUGAGAUGAUUAUCCUAGGUUAUUUUGGUCUGAAGUGCUAUAUAAAAGGUUAAGUUACUUUUUAGCCACACGUUCAGUUUGCAUGAAAAAAGAAACAUCUUGUAGCCUGGGCUGAACCGUUUGCCUUUUACACUCCACAUUAUUCCUCAAUAUUUGUCUGCUUUUACUGGAAGUUUAGAAUCCUCAAAGGAUAAAGAAUAGUUUUCCCUGAGAAAAACCCUGGAGCAACUUGGAGAGUAUUGUUGCAAAGUUUAAUUUACUACUGAUUUACAGUUUGGUACUCUUGUGUUGGUUCAUCAGUAAUUUCACUAAAUAGCAAUGAUUAUUUAUUCAACACUUGAUACUUCAUAUUCCUGAUAGUAUCUUCCUGUGUUACGUGCUCAAAAGUGCAACAAAAUAACUGACGUAAAUUGUAUGAGGCUGAUCCUGUUUCUCUGGCUCUUUCUUGCUCUCAUUGAUCCUCAUACUUGCUUAACUUGGCUUGACCAGAGGUUCUGUGCAAAUGGUGUGAAUCUGCUUCAGUGCUCAUAGCUUCUGUCCCCUGACAAUGCCGCCUCUUGCUACUGCUGCUACUUUUUCUGAGUGGGGUUGUGACUAAUUAUUGCUCCUAGCUGAGCCCUAUAAGAGGACUGUUUGGAGUCAAUCUUAUUUACCAUCUUUUUCUGAAGGAAACAUGGAGAAAAAGCAGUGGGAUCCUUCUGUGAAGACCAGUAUACCUUUUGCUAAGGAUAACUGUCCCUCAAGUGCUUAAUAGACACACUUGAAAAUAGCAAAUAAAACCUCAGAAAAGAUUUGAGCUCAAGAAGCUGUGUUCUUUCAGCAGCUGAGGAAAUACUUUGAUCAGCUUUAUCGUUCUGUCAAUGAGAAAUGACCUUCCUGUGCAUUGACUGCAAAUCCACUGUGCUGGAAAGGAACUGAGUUAAAGAGGGAAACGCAAACUUUAACAAAUGAAGUUUCUAAUCUUAUUGCUCAUUUAUACUUUAUUUAAAACCACAAACCUCUCAAAUCACAACAUGCACUCUGUGGCCACUCAGAUAUGUUUUAUUGUACCACAUGAACUCUCACUUUCCUUACCCAUUCUUCAGAGCACUUGAACAGGAGUCUGCUGCUAUGUCUGUUGAAGCUUCUGCUCCAGUUAUGUCCGACUUUGCUAAAGGAGGGAAGAAGGAGGGAUAGGAUCCAUGUGCUUCUGUUCUGGUCCAGGAGAGGCUUGUCAAAUGGGGAUAAGGAUCUUUCUCAUCUCCUUUUGCAGUGCUGACACCAGUAGAUGUGAAUAUGGCAGCCAUGCAGUUUGGAGUGAUGGCAGCUCAGAAAUAUAUGAUUCAGUAGGAAGGAUUCUUGGCAAUCAGCUUGGAUGACAUGAUGAAAUGUGUAUUGACUAGGAGCAGGGAGUGCAGUCCAGAUUAGAUGUACCCUCAGGGUGUGACUGAUAUUUCCUAAGCCCUUUUGAAUGGCACUCACACGUAUAGUCUCAGUUAUCAUUGCUGCUCUUCAUCCUCCAGAAAUGUCAUCAAAGUUAUCUGUGCAAACCAAAAGCAAAACUUUCUAAGCUUUGUUUUCAGACAGCUGCUAUCUGGAGGAUACUAAGCUCCACAAACUCAAAUUUUUAGAGAAGACAGUAAAAAGCCCACACGAAAUACAGUAUCUAAUAUACAUUGCUUUCCCAUGUGCCUGUGGAAUCAAUAAACACAUAACAAAUAAUUCAAAACAAACAAUUCUAGUCUAAAUGUAAGUAGGUAGCAGUUUCAGCUUGUUUUAAAAGGGGAUAAAUGCAGCAAGAUGUAGACACUGUUACGUUAUAGUUACUAGAACAUCUAAUGAGUUCUAGCUAAUAACCAGAGAAGCUGGUUAGUAAAAUAGCUCUUUAUGAGCAAUAUGCUGAAUUUCAGUAGCUGAGAGGAAACCACUUUUCAAGUUGCUUAUUUCACAAAGGAGGAAGAAAAGAGAGAUGGAUGUAAAUAUUUCUUAAAGCUCAAUUUCAUUCAAAAAUAGUGUUCAUCUCUUCAAAUCAAAGAAAAAGGCUUUUUCAGCAGAUUUAUAUCUUGUUUGAAAUAAAUCAUCCUCUUGCUUGAAAAAUACAUCUGCAUUAAUAAGCUUCAUGAGAGUUAUUAAGGUCCAGUCCAGUACAUCUCACAAAUUAUAAUGGUUGAGUUUCUUUAGGCAAAAGUAUCUCACAUUAUUUGUUGCACGUUUUGGUAUACAUAUAUUAUAAUUUGGUAAAUUACUGUAAUGGUUUCCUAGCUGAUAUAUCAGGAACCACAGCUUCUCCAUUAUUUGUAUUUAUUUCUCUAUUAUUUAUGCUGAAAAACCUUCUUUUAUAUCAAAGUAUCACAGACUUCUUCAUAUUAGAUGGGACCGUAGGAGGUCUCCAGCCCAUUCUCUCCAAGGUCUGUGGUCUCACCUGCCCGUGUGCAGAGGAUGUGGCUGGUGCAUCUCUGUCCCUUUUCUCCUCUGCCACCAUGUCUGUGUUAUGGCAACCUUAUAAUCCUCCUGGUCAUUUUGUUAAACUUCUGCAUUAAUAAAUCUAUAAAUUUGUCUGCUGCUUCUUGCUUUCUUGUAAUACAACACAGCACUUUUAUGUAGAGCAUUUCAUCUUUGUUAAUACAGUCAUUAAUUAAUUAGUUGAGCUGGCAUAUUCCUCUGUUAAAUUGCUAGACUACUAAAAUGUAUUCUUACAACUCCCUUAAGGUAUUUUAUGUACCGGUGAGAUCUUUUGUUAAUCUCCUUUCCAUACUGUGUUUAACCUUCUUUCACUUAUCAUUUAGGGUCAUUCAGGCUAAUCUCAGCUGUCCUCUUUUGAACCUUGUGGUGUCCACUUUUUUUUUCUCCUCUAACUGGAACCGUGUAGUUGGCCCAGAUUCUCGGCUAACUAAAACUAAAAAUUAGGAGUAACUGAAUAAGAGUUAAUUCCACCAGAAGCCAGAAUAUAGUCAUUCUCAGAAAUUCACAUGUGACUUUGAGUUCCAUAUUAAGAUACAGUGCUAGCUGCAAUUGCUAUGUUGCUUUUUUAAUAUUUUUAAAGAUUUGUCGCUGUGUGCUGUUUAGGCAUUAACCAGAAAAACUGUUCCCAGUUCAAGAGGACAAGGGGUGUCUGUGUUGCUUAGAAAUUUAGAAAGAAUAGGAAAAAAGAUUCAAAAAAUGGUCUGGAGUCUCAAAAUCGUGAGAAUAAUGAGAAAAUAAGAAGUUCAACCUAUUCCAGUAGAAUGUAGCUUAGGGUAAACUCCAGGGGGAGGAUCGCGAAAGUGCUAUGAAAUCUAAUGAACAGGCAACAAAAAACAGAGUUUGUAAACUGAAGGCAGACCAAGUCAGAGUAUAUUUAUGAUUCACUGAAAGUAAUUAACUAUUGGAACAAUAAACCUAUGAAUGUAAUGAAUUUGUUGAAGUAUUUAAAUUGAGGCCACAUAUUUUUCCUAGAUAUAUGGGCUUGUCCAGCUGGAAAUUACUGGGUAAGGUCCUUUGGUAUGUGUAAAGUCUCAAUAAUUCAUGACAGCCUCUUUCGGCCUUGCAAUUUAAGACUUCAAAUGCCAUAUGCUCACAACUUUUCUAUUCCCUUUUUGUAAGUGUGGGGAAAGGUAGUUGCAUAAUGGGUUUCAUGGCAUUAUGGAUGUAUUUUGCACUGACAUGUUCUUGAUUAAACACAAAGCAUCACCUCCCUCAGAAUUCUUGCUCCCACGCAUUCCCAAGUGUUUUCCUGGGAGCACUACAGCAGCACCUUGUCUUUACUCCCUUGUCAGCCUGUAAUGUAAGAUCUCUCUUAAUUUGCUCUUGUUCUUUACUAUUUCUCUUCCACUGUAGCACUGCGUUGGCUGAAUGUUGAUUGUUGUGGUGGAUCCCUUACUCGUGUUUAACUUACUGCUGGCUAUUCUGUCAGAACUGUUUCCUGCAGGCCUCUGUAACUAUAUGCACAGAUUCUCUUCCUGUAAAAUCUUUUUGGUUACUGCUGCUUCUUCAGUGAGGCAGCACGAGACGGAUUAGGCGAUCUUUCUUUGCUGCUAAAUGCGUGCUGACUGCUCACAAUUUAGGUAUGCUUGGCUAAAUGUUCCAUGCCUACUAUUUUCUGCUGUUCUCAUUAUUCAAAUCAUGCUUGUAGAACCUUAUAGUAAUUUUUUUUUCUGGAUACUCAUGACAGAAGUAAUCCAGGAUUCCUCCAACUUUGUACAUAGCUUCUGAGUUAUUUUGUCAGUGCCAAAGAAUCCAUUGUUGCUAUUGAAGCAGUAACACUUGGCUGAUUUCUGACUAAUCAGAGACUUGAAUUAUCAGUUGUUUUCUUCUCUUCCCCCUUUGAUUUGUGUGCAGCCCCUCUUUGCAUUCUUUAUGAACAAUGAAGUGAAGGAUACAUCUGAUAGGAUGCUUUAUACAUGCUAUGAUAAUUUGAUUCAAUUUUCAUCUAUAUUACCUGUUUGGCCCAAACACUUAUUGCCAACACCAUCUCAUUUCUCAUGGUGUUGAAUGCCAAUAGGCAUCUUGGGUAAACAGUGAGUUCACCUGUCCCUGUGCUCUGUGCUACACCCUUCUCAUUUCAAACUGGGAGCUACAGAGCUGAAAGCUAUCAAUAUCCUUGCUAUAAAAAGCAUUUUAGUGCUACUCGUAAAAACAAACAAACACCUUCCCUGCCUCAGAUUAUGUGCUCUUGCCGUGACAAAGGAUUGCUUUUCUUGUGUGAGUGCUGCACAUACAAUGUCUCUUCAAGGAUAUGAUAUCAUAGCCUCUUCCUAAUGCAUUGAUGACCCAUUUUUAUUUUGUAUCAUGCCGUUCAAAGACAAAAGAAGGUGAGACUAUCUGAGAGAGCCUUAGUAAUUAAUUGCUCUGUGCUACCUGUCCCAGAAUGCAGAUUGAAAUUGGAGCGCUCUGGCUCCCAAAGCUAAAUUCACAGAAAGCAGCUGUUCUUCCAGUGUUUUAUUAUUUUUUUCUAAUAAGAAGCAGAAACUCACACCUGCUACUUAAUAUGUGAAUGGUAUUUAAAACACUGGGUUGUUUUAAUCAGAUCUGAGUGACAACAGCUUCAGUUGUUUAAACCUAUUUGCAGCCUCUUCCUGUUGUCUAUCACAGCCACUGAGAAGCACUUUUUAAAAGUGUGUGUUCCUGUGCAUUAUGUUCAUGUUUUCAUUUAAAGCUGCCAGUGGUCUCUCAUUUCCAUUCUUUAGAAUGUAUGAAAUAAUCUCUGAUAAACUGUUCAUUUGGCACAUUAAUAACAAUGGAGAAUCAGGCUAGCUAUGGUAGUCAUACCAUCACUGUGGUGCUUCAGCUGCUCACCAUCAUGUGUGAAUUUCUUUUCUGAAUACUUAUUGAGUGAGAGAAGUAGAGUUCCAUUACAUAAAUAGGGAAUAGAAGCAAACAGACAAGCAAAUGUUUAUGUGUUUGUAUAAGAAGGAACAUCAAAAUCAGCAAGCGUCCUUGCAGCAGUGAAGUUAAGCAUUGAAACAAGCUUUGAGGAAAUCAGAGUAGAACCAAAUACACUCCAGCACAGGAGUGUAAAAAUGCUUUGUACAGAUGGAAAAGGGGUCUCCAGAGCCACACGCCAGCAAUUAGGCUGUGCGGCCGGAUGGAGGAACAUCUCACUUGGAACAGUGCUGAAGAGAAGUGGCAGCAGGAGGGACAGCAGCAGCUAGGGAUAAUCAGCUGGACCCUCCAAAACCGUUAAAAACACAUUUGGUGGUUGGGCUGGAAAGUCCUGUGGAGUGAUUUUGUCUGCUCUAAAAAGUGUCUGUUUAUAUGUUUGUUUUCUGGGGAGGGUGGUUAGUGCAGGGAUCCUGCUGGUGCUGGCAGACAUAGCCCAAGACAAUAAAGAUUUCUAAGUUGCACAAAGAAUUUUCUUUUUGCUUUGAUUCUUAUUCCCUUUAAAAUCCUAAAAGUGUGCAACUUGUCAAGCUUUACAAGUGUCACAAACUCAGCAGAGUUGGAUAUUUGUAGCAGAUUUUUUCAAGGUGUUGUAUCUAAUAAGUGAAUUAUGCUUUCUCUCAGAGCCUGUGACUUUGUCCUCAAGACUCAAGCCUGAAGAAAACAUCCAGCUUGAAUCUUAUUUCUAUCUUGCUAUCAAAAACCUGGUGCUUGGUCACCAGGCCUCACCUCCUUCCAAAGAUGCUGUGUGGGGAAGUAGCGCCUGGCUGAGCAGGGCUCCCUCUGACCUUCCUUCUACUCCUGCCUAGAAGUGGCCAGCAUCCCACAUCUGCCCCACAUCUGGAUGAUGUAAAAGAGGAGAACCUUAAUUAGCGAACAUGGUGAGCCAUUCCAAGAGUCCCCACAAAGCACAUAAAGCCUAUUCAGGUUUGUUUCAGAAUGGAUGGCAUAUACAGAGAAGUGUUAGGUUGUUUGUAAUUGUCAACACCUUUGGUGCUUAUCUGCUGGCAUGGGCCACGAGGAACAGCCCAGUGACUGCUUGUAUCUAUUUCCUAGCUGUCACAAUGUACUCGGUCAUCUCUGUUGGCUAUCACCUGUCAGAUGGACAGCAAAUCCAUUUUCUAAGAAGCACAGAGGUUUUAUUAUUAUCUGAGAAUGCUAUGAGAUUUCUUAAUCAAUCUGAACAUUCAGUGUGGCAUCCUACAUUUCAAGGUGACAUACGAGAGCCUUCCUGAAAGGGAAUCUCUGGCACCUGGCCCUAACUGCUUUCUGCCACAUACGGCCCUGCUAUCAGUAAUGGGUAUAUGACCAAGGGUAGAACAGAGCUCUGUAUUUCUGGGUUACCAUGAAAUGAUCCAUUGUGCCCUGCAAUCUACCGACAGGCAAUCUGGGACAACAAGGCACAUAACUUCAUCUUGAUAUUUUGAGAAAUGGGGACGUAAGAAUUAGAACGUUCUUGUUGGCUGCUUUAAUGCUUUUUUUCAUGACAGCAAAUAACAAUUUUGCUGUCAGUAGGGAAAAAAUCCUAACCUUUUCAACUGUGAUUUUGUAAAGAAAAAAAAAAUUACUCAAUAUUUAACAUUAAGAUAUAAUAUUUAACAUUAAGAAAUGCAGCUGUUCCUAAAAAGAAAAGAAAUUGGCAAAACAAUAUUCUGAGCCUUCUAACAAUAAAACCAUCUGAUAACUUUUCCACGUGAUUUACUGAACAGACAGUGUUGAUGAAGCUGAGAUAGGAUUUGAACUUAUAUGGAAUGAUAACAGGAAUUUAAUGUCUAUUUUAAAGAUAAUAGAUGCUGCAUCUUUUUAACACAAGUUAAAUUGUAGAAUUUGAAUAGUUUUGUGCACCUUGACAAAUUUGUAAAAUUGUAUACAUAAAUACAAUUCUGUGAUUUAGUAAAUGACUUCAUGGUAUAUGCUUCAGAUUUUGUACCACAUAAACAAGGAAUACUCUUUGGGAAGUAUUUUGAUUCGACAGUUUUUGGAUUUAGUAUACUUCUCUGUUAUAUUUGACUUGGAUGAGUACAGUACAUAACAAAGGAAAAAUCCACCUGGAAAUCCAAUGAUCUCUCUCAUCAGAUUCUUAUAGAAUUAUAGCAUAAUUUUUAAUGGUAAUUGCAAUUCUCCUGAUUUUAGAGAGGCCUUGGGAAGAGUGCAAGUGAGAAACUUCGGUGGCUUUUGUAGAGCAGUUCGUGGUUGAUUUAGGUCCCUAUUGAUGCAGAAAGGUUUUCUUGGAUACAAAUUAAAGCAGGGAAAUGGUAUGGAAGUUGAAUAGCUAGAAGACAAUGAGGGCAGCAUGACAUUAAUUGCUCUGAGUUUGUCACAGUGGGCUCAACCUAGUGUCUUCAUAGUCUGUGAAUGUCUUGGAGUUUGCAAGCUGAGGCAGACCCUCUAUCAGUAAGUGCAUUCCUGUCAUUAUCUUGUUCUCCUGCUCCACAGGUGUGCAUCACACUUGGCAGAAAAUUUGAAAAGGCAUGAAUCUUAAAAUAACACAGGAAAGCAAAGAUGCAAGUGGUGAGAAGGGAAAUGUUAGAAAAGGACUUGGAAAAGAAUUUUUGCUUCUGCUUUCUCUUGUUAGGUCUCUUCUAUUUUGUCAUCUAUUUUGACAGUCUCUAGGGACGGAAAUAUUUGUCCCACACUGCAUCAGAGCUUCUUUUCACUGUCUACAGUUAAGUCAUCUGAAUAUUUGAUGGAUGAAGCUAGAAGUCUUUUUCCUUCUAGCAAAUUCACUUACAUUUACUUUUUAGUUUUCAUAUGUGUAUGCACACACAUGUGGAGGAUAUAACUUUGUUCAUGAGACUAGAAACUGGGGCAGCAGAUUAGCUGAAAUAAAUGAGGCAUUUUGUAGAAAGUGGGGCAGAAGUGUACUGCUACAGGGAGUCUGUACUGCCAGUUGCCUUGAGGAACUCUGAAAGCACAAGCAGCAGAAGAGAUAGGAGAGUAUUUUUUGAGUGGAUUUCACACCAUUUAUAUACUUUCUCGACCUUAAUCUCUUUGGAAACUUCAGAGCCUCCAGCAAUGAGUGCUGUGUCCCAUCCAGCUGAAUCAGUGCCUCUUCUGGACUAGGAUGUGUGAGCCAAGUUGACUCCAGAUAUCCUUUCUUCAUGACCUCCUUUACAGAUUUCAGCUGAGGAAUAUAAGGAUAUGAAAGUCAGUUAAACUCCUUAGGAUCAGUCUGGAAAGUAACAAUGGAACUUCUUUUUUCUUUAAUGGCUAAAUCAACUUAAUCUUCUAUCUCCUUGGAAUAGAUUAGAACAUAUUUUUAAGCAGUUCCCAAAUAUCUGCAAUAGGUAACAACACAAAGAUGAGUGAAAAAGCAUAACCCAAAUGAAGAAAAUAUUCAUAGUCUAAAAAUUAAAGAAUAUACAUAUUGUCCAGGUUAGCUAAGUGAUCAAGAAAAGUCACAAACUUUCAGAGAAGGCUUUUUUGUGAGCCAGUCUGAAGAGACAGCCUCUAGUUCAGAGAGACCUGAUGUCUGUAUUUGACUCUCUAAAUGAUGCUUUUCAAGAGAUCUCAUUCUAUCCCCCGUGACCUACUCGUGUUAAAAAAGAUGCACUCCCCAAGGAAGCCAUCUUAUAAAUACAUGCUUUUUAUCAUUCCCAGAUCCUUUCAGGUUCUUCUGUGUUGUUUUUGCUAAAAGAGGAUGUUUCUCUUUAAAUGCCCUUCAGUCUCAGUCUUCUCAGUCUUCCUUUCCAGUAUACAUUUUCUCCACUGAAUUUCUAGUUCAAGAGUGUGUACUGUUUGUAUAAUUGUCUGGAGUAGGUAGCUCAGAUACUGCUCAGUUUUACCUUUAAAUAGGAAGACAAGGUUUUCUCAUACUUUCAUCCUAAUUUUCUCCUAUCAUGUACGAACUACAGACAAAUUUGUCUUCCACAGUCAACCACAGAUAAACAAGAACUGAUUCUGAAGGAUGCUUACUAGAAAGACUGCCAUAAAGGAAAGCCAUGAAAAUACCAAAGUCAGUAUUUUUAAAUUCUUGUUUUUAGUUUUGUGAUGGAAAACCAAAUCCCUAAUUUGCACUCACUUUUAGGCAAUUUGUUGUAAUGUUCGAAGAGUUGAGAGCUGUUAAGGGGAUUCUGCAUACAAAGGAUACUCAUAUUAUGAAUGUAUACUUUCAUACUUACUUAUAAGUACAUUAUACUAUAAAUAUAAUGUAAUUUGAAUGUAAUUCAGAUAGAGAUUAUUAGGGAAGGGGAAAGAAGAAGAGGGAAAUUUUACUUAAUUGGACAUCUGAAAUAAGGACAAUGGCAGUCAGUUGUUAAAUUAUUUGGAAAAUGCUAAAUCAAAAUCACUUUAUGCUAUAGGAAGCUGCAGUUCUGGAAGUGCUGACAGUGUGAUAGUUACAGCAGGGCAGACAGUUUCUCCCUGGUGAGUUUUCUUGUUCCUUUAAUUUGCAGAACUCCUCUGAAACAGAUUCCCUCAUUUUUUGUUUCAUGAGGAUUAUUCAUGCUACGACUAUCCAUGAAUAUUCAAAAUUUACCCUAUUAUUUGAAUACAUUUGGCCAGAUAAAUAGUAUGCUAUUCUUAUUUCUUGAUUGGAGAAAAACAGAUGAAUUCUUUGUUCAAAUAUUUGCAUUGAUGCAUUUUCCAUUGUUUUGAAACUAUGUUCAUACAUUUGACUUUUAAAUGAUUUUUCAUGAACACUGAUUUACCAAAAGUUAUUGCUCAGAUCUUUCCACAAAGCAUACUUAAUCAUGUAAAUGUAACCAGACUGUCCUGAUUUGAAAAUAAGAGUAUCUGUGACAAUUGAUUUUGAACUUUACAUCCAAUUUUCAUGUGAUAUAUUGUUUUAUGUGCAUAUGGCAGCGAACCAUUCACCUGCAGAAGCUGCUCAGAAACAUAGUUGUGCUGUCUCAGCUUGUGGCUGCUUACUGCUAAUGCCAUGACUUUUAUUAAAUAUUUAGGCAACUCUUACUGAGGCACUGUUCUUCAGCUGUGAUUGUGACAUAGCUGGGUACUCAAAUAGAAAUUGUAUUCCCUUAAAGGAUAACUGAGUGUUGGAGUUUAGAGUAUCUUAUUUGCUUUAAGCUUACAGUUCAUAACAUCAAGCAAUAAGGUAGUUUAUGCAUACCAAGGUGAAGGGAAAACAGAGGUAAUAACAUCAGAUACCCAUGGGGAAGCUGGUAGAAUAUUUCUGCCUGCUUUGGGACAAGGUAAGAAUUUGGUGCAGGGUAAGAAAACACACAGAAAACAGAGCUUGGGCCCCAUGUGUCUACAUGAUAUGUGCCUAAGGCUGGCUUUGCAGAGGUGGAGGCUAGUCUUUAUCAGAUAUUACAGAUGUGUGGUGAGAGUCAGCAGCUCUUCGUCACAUUAUCUGAUCUAAGUUUAGUACUAGACCAGCCCACUCAUCUGUUUGUUCAAGACACUGCGUAUUUCCUCCAAGCAGCCUAUAUACAUGAUCAGUGCUCCCAUCUCUAUCCCUUCACCCCACACUUCUUCUUCUUCUUCUUUUUUUUCUUUUUUAAAAAUUAUUAUUAUCAUUAAAUGUGGUGGAUUCACAGCUGCUUUUUAUUUCAGUAGCAGUUUGGGGGAUUUUUUUUUUUUCUUACUAACAUCACAUCAGAUUUCAUGCCAGGAGAGGAAAGACCCUAUGACAGGGAUGGCCUAUCUGCUGCACCUGAGUUAGAGGCAAAGCUGUGAUUUCAGCGUGGAUGAGCUUGAUAGCAAGAAAUAUAUAGGCUCAGAGGUGAAGCUGCACUGGAAAUCACCUGUCUUUCCAAUAGUGACACUUGGAUUAAUUUAUAAAUGUGCCAUCUGAAUUUUCUGUUCUCUCUUCAGGAAGCUGUUUGUUUUCCUUCCCCUCGUGACCAAUUCCUUCAGCAGGUGAGGAGCUUGUAUAGGCCUUCUGCUCUCCCCUCAGAUCUCUUCGAGAGCUGACGUAGUUCUGUGCUUCUUGACAUCAGCUGAUCCUCUUCAAACUGUUUCCCCAAGAUGUGGUUUGUCAACAGACAGAGAAAUCAAAGAAGCAAGAGUUUGCUUUGUUUCUCAUCCAGGUAAGCAAGCUCUCUUCUGGUUUAGCAGAGCACGUAUUGCAGUGCACAUCUGACUGCCAAUGCAUUUGUGAGUUCUGGAAAAAGCAAGUUCCAUUUUCCAUAUUGCAUCAGCAAAUGAGAAAGCAAAUGCUAUUCAGACAGGGUGACCUCAGAGCACUAGUAAUUUACAUGAAGAGUUGACAGUAAAGGACAACUUUUAAAACACAUACAUUUUUAGGUACUGUUGGUUGCUCUGUGUGACAUGUGGGAAUGUGCAGAUCCACCCUUGUUGCCUUGGUCCCCUAGUGCCCAGGGCUCAUGGUCUUUCCUCAUCUCCAGGGAGGCCAUCAGUGGAGACCUCCUCUCAGCUGUCCUACAACCAUUCAAGCACGAGACUGGGACAUGCCAAAGUUCAACUGAGCUCCAGGAGUUACCGAGGAAAAAAAGAAGCAUAUGGCCACCAGUGAAAUCUAAAGGGCCAAAGAGAAUAACUAGGGUUUAUGCAUAAAAGCUGGAUAGAACCGAGCUCUCUCACAUGGGUCAGGUUGAUGGUUGGGCUCAAUGUUCUUGAAGUUCUUUUCCAGCCUAGAUGAUUCUAGGGCUUAUGCAAUUUGUGAUGAGCCAAGCAAAGACCUUUCUCCCAGUCAGCAUUAUGUAAAAUGGUUGCAUUCACAGCUUGAGACCGUUUUCUUCCUGAGCUGGGAUUCCUUAGGUGAUCAAAUGCACUGUUAAAGAGACGGAAAGCAGCCUGUUCCAUCCCUUGACUGUUAUGGUAUAGCAAAUAUUAUGUAUAACUGACUGAUUUUUGUGAGAGCCAUGAAAAGUGUAUGAGCUUGCAAAAGGUUUAUGUAUGUUUUAUAGCUGAAACAACCAUGAGAGUAAAACUACAUUGUUUUACUCUUUCAUGCUUCCUUUCUGCUUUUAGAUCACGUUGCCCGUGAAGUCAAGCGGGAGGUUCUUUAAUUUCUGCAAAUGUCUCUGGGAAAAUGUAGCACUACAGUUAUGUAUUUACGAAAUGGCAUUAAGUACGUUGUAAAUUCUAUCAAUCAAACUGAAUGUUGCCAAAUGGGAUAUUAUGUUUGUUAAUGAAACAUGUUUCCCAUUCACACUCCCUAAUGGAGCAGGAAACAGAGACUACAGCACCUUUUCUGUAAUUCCCUGCAGCCAGAAUUUUGUUUCCCAGAACUAACUCCACUGGGGGUGUUCCACCAUUGGAUCACUCCAUCUUAUUUCCAGUACAAUGGGAUUUUCAGCAAUGAUAAUUAUGCUUUGAAAAUGCUAAGUGACAAGCUCAUAGCUGGUAUAAAGCAAUUCAAAUGAACCUAUGCUAGUUUCAUGUCAUAGCCACUGUGUGCAUGUAGUAGAAAAGCAAAAGCUUUAAGCCCUGUGAACAUUUCUUUUUAAUUAGAAACAUUGCUACGGAAAAGGCAUAACUUCUUCUAUUUCUUUUCUAUUUUUUUUUUUAAUCCGCAAGUAAAUGGAUGUUGGACUAGGAUGAUCCUUUGUGAUCAGAAAGUUCAGUAUGAUCUUACUAAAUGUAGAAAUACUUUGAAAGUGGAUAGUCUUGCAGAUCUCAAUAGCUUUGAAAGCCUGGCAAGCUAUGGCUCCUAAAAAUUGGAAGCCAAAUAAUGUGAAAGCAUGUAAAUUGUAUACCAGGUAGGAGAAAACCACCUUCUGAUUUGUAAAAAAUCAUGGUUUUUUUGCUAAAUUAAAAAAAAAAAAAAGAAAAGAAAAAACCUGCUGAGAACUGGCUGCAUCACUAACUCUAAGGAUUUAUGUUAUAUAGAUCCAUUUCCAUGCGAGGCUUUAAAUGUUAUACUGCUCUAAAUUAGCUAAGGAUUACUUCAUCCUCUAAAUUAGGUGAGGAUUGGUUUGUCCUCAGACAGCCUUGUGACAAAAGGAAUGUAUUUCCAGUCAUUACGGUAAUCUGCUACAAUAAAUUGAAAAUUAAACUUCAUGCAUUACUCUAUCCCUGAAACAAACACAGUAAUCAUUUACCUUGUCACUGACAUUCUAGUAGUUACAAUUUGAUUUAAAUACUGAAUUAGCAAUACUUAAUUUUUUUAUAUUAAAAAUAAGAAAAUAAAUCUGAAAAUAGAAAUCACCAUAAUGAAGACUUUUUUUUUAAUGUAGAAAAGGUGCUGUGCAUCAAAUGAAGUGAAAUACAUUUCCAUCACUUUUAACUUAGGAAAAGCUUCAUUUUCCACUCAUAAAUAGAAUUUUUGCCUGUUGUCUUAGGAAAAUACGCACUGUAAUAAAUAUCUUAAUUUGCUUAUUAGAGUUUUAUUGUCUGCAUUUGAAAAUAUGAAGGCUACUCUGAAAGUAAUGCCUCCUAUUUCACUGUGUUGGCCCAUGACAUCAGAGGCAGAUGUUGGUGUUAUUGUAGUAGAGGCUGAAUCUUCCUAACAAUAUUUCAUUACAUUUUGUUGCUGUGUGACCAACAGUAGCAGAGGGACAUUCUGACAUAGUCGCAUCUGACAUGGAAGUGCAGUGUGUCAUUUAAUUCCUCCAUGUGAAAAAAUUGGCAAUCAUUGAUAUUCACUGAUACUUGCUAAGCU